AUGAUCUGGCAGACUCCGCUACUCUGGCUCCUGGUGCUCUGGGUUCAGGGCUCCAGUGGGCAGAUUGUGAUGACUCAGACUCCAGAAUCCCUGGCAGUGUCUCCUGGUGACAGAGUCACCAUCAACUGCAAAGCCAGUUCCAGUGCUGACGGAUGGGUGGCCUGGUACCAAAAGAAAACAGGACAAGCUCCUAAGCGCCUUAUCUAUGAUGCUUCCAGCCGUGUCUCUGCGAUCCCAGACCGGUUCAGUGGCAGUGGGUCAGGCACUGCCUACACAUUCACAAUCAGCAGAGUUGAAGCAGAAGAUGCUGGAGAUUAUUAUUGCCAUCAGAACUGA